rnacentral:rRNA from 1 species
GUACUGUGCAAACGUUAUUCGGAAUCACUGGGCUUAAAGGGUGCGUAGGCGGUGAUUUAAGUAGGGUGUGAAAUCCCCCGGCUCAACCGGGGAACUGCGCUCUAAACUGGGUCACUUGAGUAAGAUAGGGGUGUGUGGAACUUCCGGUGGAGCGGUGAAAUGUGUUGAUAUCAGAAGGAACGCCAGUAGCGAAAGCGGCACACUGGGUCUUAACUGACGCUGAGGCACGAAAGCCAGGGUAGCGAACGGGAUUAGAUACCCCGGGUAGUCCUGGCUGUAAACGAUGAGCACUAGUUGGGAGGCGCUUACGCAUUUUCCAACGUAGCAAAAGUAUUAAGUGCUCCGCCUGGGGAGUAUGGUCGCAAGGCUG